rnacentral:tRNA from 1 species
AGCCCUGAGGUGUGCCACGUCAGACUGCAAAUCUGAAGAAGCAGGCUAACACCUGCCGGGGCUU